rnacentral:rRNA from 1 species
UCCUACGGGAGGCAGCAGUGGGGAAUUUUCCGCAAUGGGCGAAAGCCUGACGGAGCAACGCCGCGUGAGGGAUGAAGGCCUCUGGGCUGUAAACCUCUUUUAUCAAGGAAGAAGAUCUGACGGUACUUGAUGAAUAAGCCACGGCUAAUUCCGUGCCAGCAGCCGCGGUAAUACGGGAGUGGCAAGCGUUAUCCGGAAUUAUUGGGCGUAAAGCGUCCGCAGGCGGUCUGUCAAGUCUGCUGUUAAAGCGUGGAGCUUAACUCCAUUUCGGCAGUGGAAACUGACAGACUAGAGUGUGGUAGGGGCAGAGGGAAUUCCCGGUGUAGCGGUGAAAUGCGUAGAUAUCGGGAAGAACACCAGUGGCGAAGGCGCUCUGCUGGGCCAUAACUGACGCUCAUGGACGAAAGCCAGGGGAGCGAAAGGGAUUAGAUACCCCUGUAGUCCUGGCCGUAAACGAUGAACACUAGGUGUCGGGGGAAUCGACCCCCUCGGUGUCGUAGCCAACGCGUUAAGUGUUCCGCCUGGGGAGUACGCACGCAAGUGUGAAACUCAAAGGAAUUGACGGA